CGCGGAUUCGGCGGCGAGACGCGAGGAGCUUUCCUUCCGGGGAAGAAGCGCCUGACAGGCGGGUCCCACCUGUCAAUGGUUGUGGGCGCACGCGCGUGCGGUGCUGGGCCGGCGGCGCUCGCCGGGGAAUGGGCCGGUUCGGUCCAAAUCGGCCGGGCCGGUCCGUUUACCGUUUUUUUUUCCUUUUCUUUUUCCCUUUUUCUUUUUCUGUAAAUCCUUUGUAACUUUUGAUUUUGAACGCCAAAUUGGUCCAAAUAAAUUCCAGAAAAUUUGUAAAAUCAUGUUUUAUCGUGAUUCAACUUUUGGGAGUGAUUUCCCCUCAAAAUAAAAUAUAUAAAAAUACAUUUGCGCUAUAAAUGACUUUAGGGCUAUAUAACUAUUUGAAAUGAAUAGUUUUUCAACUUCAAAUUAAAUCUUAAAGAUUAUGGGAUAGCUUAUUUAUGUAAUAAACCACUUUUGUAGUUAAACCCUAUUGGUUUAAAGAUCUAAAGACCAAAUGGGUGAAACCCUAGGGUUUAAAAUUGAAAUAAAAUCAUUUCAAAGCCUUUUGAGAUUCAAAUUUGAAUUCAAAUAUGCAAAUGUGGCAUGAUGCUCAUGGAUGCAAUGCACAUGUAAGAAUUUGAAAUUUUGGGAUGUUACAACCUGAGGUCGCCUCCCAUCCUCGUCGCCACCAAG
rnacentral:lncRNA from 1 species